rnacentral:rRNA from 1 species
CGACGGGUGAGUAACACGUAUGCAAUCCACCUGCAACAGGGGGAUAACCCGGAGAAAUCCGGACUAAUACCCCAUAAUAUGGGCGCUCCGCAUGGAGAGCCCAUUAAAGAGAGCAAUUUUGGUUACAGACGAGCAUGCGCUCCAUUAGCCAGUUGGCGGGGUAACGGCCCACCAAAGCGACGAUGGAUAGGGGUUCUGAGAGGAAGGUCCCCCACAUUGGAACUGAGACACGGUCCAA